UACGAAGGGUGCAAGCGUUAAUCGGAAUUACUGGGCGUAAAGGGUGCGUAGGCGGUUGAUUAAGUCUGCUGUGAAAUCCCCGGGCUCAACCUGGGAAUGGCAGUGGAAACUGGUGAGCUAGAGUGCGAGAGAGGAUGGUGGAAUUCCCGGUGUAGCGGUGAAAUGCGUAGAGAUCGGGAGGAACACCAGUGGCGAAGGCGGCCAUCUGGCUCGACACUGACGCUGAGGCACGAAAGCGUGGGGAGCAAACAGG
rnacentral:rRNA from 1 species